rnacentral:rRNA from 1 species
AUUGAACGCUGGCGGCAUGCCUAACACAUGCAAGUCGAGCGGAGAGGCGAACGGGUGAGGACUGCCUAGGAAUCUGCCUGUUAGUGGGGGAUACCGUCCGGAAACGGGCGCUAAUACCGCAUACUCUCAGAUGAGCCUAGGUCGGAUUAGCUAGUUGGGGGGGUAAAGGCCUACCAAGGCGACGAUCCGUCACUGGUCUGAGAGGAUGAUCAGUCACACUGGAACUGAGACACGGUCCAGACUCCUACGGGAGGCAGCAGUGGGGAAUAUUGGACAAUGGGCGAAAGUCUGAUCCAGCCACGCCGCGUGUGUGAAGAAGGUUUUCGGAUUGUAAAGCACUGUAAUUUGGGAGGCGUUACCUACCGAAUAAGCCACGGCUAACUACGUGCCAGCAGCCGCGGUAAUUC